UACGUAGGGUGCAAGCGUUGUCCGGAAUUAUUGGGCGUAAAGAGCUCGUAGGCGGUUUGUCGCGUCUGCUGUGAAAACCCGGGGCUCAACCCCGGGCCUGCAGUCGAUACGGGCAGACUAGAGUGCGGUAGGGGAGACUGGAAUUCCUGGUGUAGCGGUGAAAUGCGCAGAUAUCAGGAGGAACACCGGUGGCGAAGGCGGGUCUCUGGGCCGUAACUGACGCUGAGGAGCGAAAGCCAGGGGAGCAAACGGG
rnacentral:rRNA from 1 species